CAUGGCCCCCCAAAUCCCAUGAUUUCUAUUUCUGCUUCAAAAGAAAAAACCAAGAGCACCUUCUGCCUUGAGGCUGGAAGAGACAUCAGUCUGUCUGGGCUUGCUGAAGAAGGGAGAAAAAGAACAGCAAGAAGCAACUGAACAUAUUGAUGAAGUACAAAAUGAAGUAGACUUAAUAAGCCAAUGAGGAGACUUUGAAAACAGAACAGAAAUAUAACAAACUCGGCCAACUGUUUUUUCAGAUGAGGUCUGAAUUGAUAGCCAAAAUCCCAAACUUUGGGGUAACAGCAUUUGUCAACCAUCCACAAAUGUCUGCACUGCUUGGGGAGGAGGAUGAAGAGGCACUGCCGUAUUUAACCAGUGUUGAAGUGACAGAAUUUGAAGAUAUUAAACCAGGUUACAGAAUGUUUUUAUUUUGACAAAAAUCCUGACUUCAAAAAUAAAGUUCUCUCCAAAAAAUUUCAUCUGAAUGAGAGUGGUGCUCCAUCUUCAAACUCACUAAAAUCAAAUGGAAAUCUGGAAAGGAUUUGAUGAAAAAUGCAAGUCAAAUGCAGAAUAAUGCCAGCAGGAAGAGGCAGCAUGGGGAACCAGAGAGCUUCUUCACCUGGCUUACUGGCCAUUCUGAUGCAGGUGCAGAUGAAUGAGGAAAGGUCAUCAAAGAUGGUAUUUGGCCAAAUCAAUUACAGUAUUACUUGGUUCCCAAUAAUGGAUGAUGAGGAAGGAGAAGGAGAAAAAGAAGAUGAAGACAGGGAUGAGGAUGAAGGUGAAGAUAAAGGUGAUGAAGGGGAGGAAGGAGAGGAAGAUGAAGGAGAAGAUG
rnacentral:lncRNA from 1 species